AUUGAACGCUGGCGGCAGGCUUAACACAUGCAAGUCGAGCGGGGUGAUGGUGCUUGCACUAUCACUUAGCGGCGGACGGGUGAGUAAUGCUUAGGAAUCUGCCUAUUAGUGGGGGACAACAUCUCGAAAGGGAUGCUAAUACCGCAUACGUCCUACGGGAGAAAGCAGGGGAUCACUUGUGACCUUGCGCUAAUAGAUGAGCCUAAGUCGGAUUAGCUAGUUGGUGGGGUAAAGGCCUACCAAGGCGACGAUCUGUAGCGGGUCUGGGAGGAUGAGCCGCCCCACUGGGACUGAGACACGGCCCAGACUCCUACGGGAGGCAGCAGUGGGGGAUAUUGGACAAUGGGGGGAACCCUGAUCCAGCCAUGCCGCGUGUGUGAAGAAGGCCUUAUGGUUGUAAAGCACUUUAAGCGAGGAGGAGGCUCUUUUGGUUAAUACCCAAGAUGAGUGGACGUUACUCGCAGAAUAAGCACCGGCUAACUCUGUGCCAGCCGCCGCAGUAA
rnacentral:rRNA from 1 species